rnacentral:rRNA from 1 species
AUACGGGGGGUGCAAGCGUUAAUCGGAAUUACUGGGCGUAAAGCGCGCGUAGGCGGUUUGCUCAGUCGGAUGUGAAAGCCCAGGGCUCAACCUUGGAACUGCAUACGAUACUGGCAAACUAGAGUGUGAGAGAGGAUAGUGGAAUUUCCGGUGUAGCGGUGAACUGCGUAGAUAUCGGAAGGAACAUCAGUGGCGAAGGCGACUGUCUGGCUCAACACUGACGCUGAGGUGCGAAAGCGUGGGUAGCAAACAGGAUUAGAAACCCUAGUAGUCC